rnacentral:lncRNA from 1 species
CCACCAUGCUUGGUGUUGGCUUUUGUAGUCUCAUCUCCCAAAGAAUGACGAGGACAGCACAUGAUUUGGAGCUAGGGGGCAGUUUCCUUUCAAAGAAGGUAGCCAACUAGAUUUUGUUCCUUUUCGGAUCAUUUUAUACCUGGACUUGUUAGAGAGAGAAAUUCCGGAUGUUUCUCAACAAGUGCACCUCCGUCGUCGUAGUUGCCGAGCAAGCUUUGUAUCUUCUCUUUUUAGUCCACCCUCUGCAACUUCAAAAUGCUCAUAGAAUUCUCAAGGAUCCAGAAGAGACUUACAAAAUUGUCCGAAUGUUUAAGUGGAAGAGGAGCCUUUUAGACGGAAUUGAUUUUCAUUUUUUUCUUUGUUUUUCAAGGUACGAUGUAACUAUUUUUUUAGACCCUUUGUAACCUCCAUUGUAUAUAUAUUACUCUUUUCAAUAAUAGCUGCUUUCCCAGCCUCCUUCAACCAUCAAAAAAUAUAUAUAUACAUACUCAUUUGUAUCAUUUAACCCAUCUUUUUACUCAGAUCUUUGACCAUAUAAAGGGAGUACCUAACGACUAGAGCCAUUCAAAUAUUUCAUCAAACCAUGGUGGUAAUAAACUUCAAAACUAUGAUUCACGGUGGAUGAUGAUGAUGAUGUUUCCCCUAAGCUAGAAAUUUCUCAUUAAGAAUACCGAUGAGCUAAAGAACUAAAACAUAUGAUUCGAUCAAAGACACAUACUCCUAAGUUGACAAAACAGUUAUCUGACCUGCUCUGUGGUAAAAUUUGAGGUUAAGCAAUAUAAAAGUAUGUUCUAUAUAAUAUAGAAUCCCAAGCUAAACUGUGUACAAGUUAAUUGAUGGGAAGUCCAACUUAGUUGAUAGUUGUUUCUUCAGUCGUCCUUUUUCUGAGAGGAAAUUGGAAGUCUAAUCAACAGAUGAGGCAACAGAAACUGUAGAAGAGAAUUGUUUUUAUUCUUUUCUUCUUUCUUGAGGGAAAAAAAUUGCUAUUUCACUUACCUUGUCACCUUUAUUUCACUUCAUUGCGUUGAAAUAUAUAAUGGCCUCACCACCUCAGAAACAAUUUUCCUGCGACUCUUCCAAAAUCAAGCAUGUUAAAAGCGACUAAACUAUAAAUGUAUAUGACAAUUAAAUGUCAGAAAGAUAAAAGAAUGCAAGUAUAAUGUAUUUAAUUUGAUAAAUUACUUAAAUAGCAUCUACAGGGUGCAGAGACAUAAUCCACUUAGCUUUUAGGGAAAAUCAUUUCAGCAUCUGGAAGAGGUUCCAUGAAAAGCUAUAAUCCUUAAAGAGAGGGCAGGAGCUUAGACUGCAUGGAUUGAUUCAUGAAAUAAUCUAACCUAUGUAUCUUAUUGGUUGUCCUCUUCAAUACUUCAACUUGUUCAUGAAACAGCCAAUAAGCAUAAAUUCUUUUUUUUUUCGACUCUCCAAUUAAAAUAAUUCAUAUUCACCGUCUGAAACCCUUAAGAUGCAUUCAAUGCCUAUAAAGCCACAGAUCUCAAUAAUUUUCAGAGUUUCAACUCAGAGAAGCACGACUCUUCUUGGUCCAAGACUCAUCAUGCUUAAACUGCCAAUCUGAAUAAGUGAUGCAAAACCAUUGCCUAUCAUUACUACUGGAAGGGAAGCUCAGUACACUCUGUUUUACUUUUUCCAUGUUUGCAUUUUUCUUUUUCUUUUUCUUUUUAUGGCAUUUUGAUUACAGUAAGAGACCUGAUGCAAUGGAAUCUCCCUUUUUUUUAAUGUCUAGCAUACAAAUACAAAGAUGAUAAAAGUACAAUCUUCCACAUAUAGAGUAAAAGCCUACAAAAUUCAGAUGGGGGGAGAAGGAAAAGAUUAAGCAAGUUAACACAGCAAACAAAACGAAGGUGCUAAAAGCCAACCAUCCUUAGUUGAUUGGCACCCCUCUCCACUUCAAAGAGGUCCACAGUUCGAAGACCAGUGACCUCUGCUGGUGGUACUCCCCAUGUAUUUCUCAAAAAAAAAUACUAAACAAUUUAGUAUUGAACAAAAAUAAAGUCCCACUGAAAUGUUCAUAAGCUCAUACCUGAAUACAUCAUGUGCACAAAACAUUGUACAAAAUUGGUGCCAAAUUUUCACAUCAAGCAGCAUGACAUACUCAGUGACCAUAUUUAUAUCAGUUCAAAGUUGAAGACUAACACUUGCAAAAGAUGAACCAUUCAUAACAUGAAGUUUGGCACUGCCCAUCGGACCUCUGGAUUUUAUGGAUGAUAGCAUUUCGAGUGUAUAUCUCAAUUUUACUUCCUCCUAGUUAGUUUAGUGUAGCAAUCUUAAGUGCUCAAGUUGUCUUCUCAGAUUGAAUCCAUUGUGAUCACCUUCCUUUUCAGGGUUAUUCAUGUUCAAACUCUCAAAUGAUGGAGCAAGAAAAUUCAGUCAUUCAAUGGGCUGUCAAAGAUGACCCCAAGUGGUUGAGAGUAAAUUUAAUCCUCUUGCAAUAUUCCACAGCAUUGUGCUCCCUUAAGAUUCUGCUAAAUCUGAAUACAGCUUCUGUAUAAGGAGCUUGAGGGCCCAGGGUAAAUUGUCUGAAGACAUCUAAGUCAUGAAUAAUACCUGGUUUGGUAAUGGUUACAGUUAUCAGGCUUUCUACAAAUCUUCGGUACAUCUCUAGUUUUCAAGCAAGUGGUUUCCCUUGAUUAGCAUAUUGUUACAUUCCAGUUUUAAAAGGAUUCUAUACUAGUUAAGAACCAAAAAGUCUCGUAUCUUAAGAAGGUCCAUCACAUAUUUAUUCUAUGGAAAGACAACCAAGGAUGAAGACACCAUAUGCCGAGGUAAUGCCAAGCUUGCGCUAACAUUGUUCUAGUGCUUGGCAAAAGCUGUCACUAUGGCAUGUCAAGCACAGGCAUGCAGCUAAUAUCAUGCCAAUGUGAUAGGCACUGUAUAUGUUGCAUCAUAACAGCUGUGGCAACUGGCACUUUGAUCAAUGAGGACAGUCUCCUUUUGGAAUUUGCUCCAUUUAAAUAUCAAUAAAAUAAUGAAGUUGUCCGAAUCUUCAAUCCCAAAUCUCCUUCACAAAGCUGCUUCAAGGUUUUCAUCUCAAUCUAGUCAUCUCCACAAAGGACAGUAUCAUUUACAUAGAUAAUAAGUAUAAUUAGCCAUCAUGAUGUUUUCCAAUAGUAAAUCAAAAAUGAUUUGCUUGACUUCUUUUGAACUCAAAGAACAAACAGUGCUUGAAUGAACUUGCCGAACAAGCAAAAGGGAAUUUUGCUUUAGAUGAUAGAUGGAUCUCUUUAACCAGCAAGCCUGCAUCUUUUGCUAGAGCAAAUAUAGGAGUAUCCAUAUACAAGUUUUCACAUAAACAUCCAUGUGAGAAUGUCUAGCCUGAAAAAACGACAAAAAGGCAACUCCAGAUUGCUAGCAAUUCAAACCAUAAUAUAGUUGCUAGCAACACGUUAGCUUUGUGUUUUCAGCUGAUCCAUCCUGUUUAAACUUGACAAUAUAUGCCCAACAACAUAUUACACUACAUUUCCUUAACACAGAUGCACCAGCUCUUAGGCUUUAUUCUUGUAAAGUGCCUCUUUUAGUUCUAAGAAACUUGAUAUGUACAUUAAAAUGAUUCCAAACCUUGUGAAGAAUCUUAUACAAGACAAACAGCUUAUAUUAUUCUUCAUAAGAUAGAGACAAGUCAUUUGAGAAUUAUUAUUGAUUAAACUAACAAAAUAUUUAAAGUUUUUUGAACGAGAAACAUGAGGCAUCCAUAAAUUGCUAUUCACCAACAUGAAAUAUUCAGAUUUAGAUUUAUAAAAGCAUGGACUUUUAAAAACAGCCCUAUGAUGCUUGACAUGCUUGUGACUCGCAUAAAGUUACCGGCAUGUGAGGAUUACUAGGAUUGUAUAAUAAAACGAAUAUGAUGUAUGCCCUAACAAACACUGCCAUCUGACUAAGGCCUUCUCAUGAUAAAGAUAAAUAACCACCAAGAUUGAAAAGAAUGUAGAGUCCUCCUCAUUAGGAGAUAUUGAAAAUUUAUGAUCAGUAGGAUAAAAAGUUACUUUGCAAUUUAAAGACUUAGUUAACCACCAUUAAAGAUGACAAAAGACAAAACUUUUGGGACAUUAGUCUGAACCUCCCCUUGACAAGAAACAGGAGAGAAGGCACCAUCAGCCAGCAUAACAUAUUUGCAAGAAGAAAAGUAUUAGGAUAGGAAAAAAACCAAUGGCUUUAGUCUAUGUGAUGGCCCUUUAUUUUUCAUUCAUAUGCAUUCACAUUUCUUUUAUAUUUUAUAAUUGUUUUAAAAAAAAUUAUAACAACCCAAGACCUCACCCAAAGGACUAUGCAGAAGGUAUAUAUUAUUUUUUUAUAUUUUAUAAUUAUUUAAAAGAAAACUGUAACAAUCCAAGACCUUAUCCAAAAAGACUAGCCGGAAGAUAUUAUUUGGAUUCUUUGGCCUUGUAUAAGCAUUGAAAAUCUUUCCAGUGAAUAGGACUGGAACUGGGCUUAGACUGGCCCGAGGCCCAUCGGGCCGGUCCAACUUUGGGUCAGGCUUCGGACAAGGCCCAAAAUAGUUUAGGUCGAGUUUGGAUCUAAUUAUAGGGCCCAUUUCAUCUUUUGGGCUAGACUCAAAUAUACCUUUGAUCUGGCUCGGGCUCUAGCCCUCACCGCAGGCAGUCCGUCGCCUCUCGCUGAGGUUAGGGAGCCCUUCAUGGUUGCCGCCCUCGGCAAAGAUGCUGAGCUUCUCCAUGAGAGCGGGUUUCUCUCCCAGCUUUGCCGGAACACUAGUCGGAUUAAGAUUCUCCAUUCUUGUGCCUGAGAUUGCUUCUCUAGUGGGUCUAGUGGCGAUGCUGUGGGAUGGGUUGGGGAGGAGGGUCCUAUGCCCUAUGCCGACCGUCGUCAAUGGGAGGUGCUUCUCAGCCCUAGGCUUCUUCUCGGCUACCGUCUUCUUCUCUUUAUCCUCUGCCUACUUCUCCGAAGUAGGCUUCUUCUCCGCCAGCUUCCCAUUGAAAUCGAGGUUAAGGGGAGGGUUUGAGCUUGGGUAAUCCCAGCCCCUUGUGACUUGCAUUUUCUUUUCCCCACUCACCCCCUUUUAGGCCUUUCACGACUCAAACCCUAACCCUAAGCCCAAAAUCCCAGUUAAAGAAGGCAAGAAAGGCAAGCAACUACUCGAGAGAGGGACCAAUUCAAGCUUCAAUGGAGGAGGAGAGGCUCCACUCCUUGCGGGAUAGCCCUAGAUUUCCUCCGGGGGACCGCCCCCACAUCUAACAGCAUCAACGAAGCCAUAGCCCCUGCCGGCCUUGUGGCCGCCCCCACCGAUCCUUGACUAGUUCUGCACCAUGCUCCGAGAGAGGGAGGAGGAGUUGUGGGAGGCCAUCGGUGACGACCCACCCAUGCCCCUUACCACUAGCGAGAUCAUUUGCUUCUACAAGGAGCUCCUCUCGGAGCUUACCUUCAACUCAAAGCCAAUCAGGCAUAAUUUUUUUUUCGAACCGGCACAAUCGGGUUCAAGCCUGAACUCAGGCUGGGCUUGGGCUUGGAUUUUGUAAAAAUUUUCGGGCUUAAGCUUGGCUAGAAGCUCGAAAAAAUUUUUGGACCAGACUCGGAUAGGGGUGUGGCAUGGCCCAACUCAACCCAUUUCUAGCCCUACUAGCGAAUAAUCGAUAUAGAACUAAAUACCCGCCCGCAUGGGUCCUUACAUACUUUCCUCGUUUAAACUCUAGUGCCAUCAUCAAGCUAAGAGUUUAAAUCUAUGUAUUUUGUUCAUAAACACCACGAUAAGAUUGUAGUUGACCCCCAAGAUCCCCGUGUUGCAACCUCACCCAAAAGGGCCAGUCAAUAUAUAUUAUUUUGAUUCCUUGGUCCUGUAUAACUAUCCAAAAUCUUUCCAGCGAAUAACUGAUAUAGGACUAAAUAUACACCGGCAUAGGUCCUCAAAAAAAAAAAAAAGGAAAGAAUCUUACAUUAUCUACUAAUAGAUGUUAAUUCUUAAUUAUAAUUAUUACCCACCAUUUAUCAGAUUAUCAACCUUUGCAUUUUUCCCCUCAUUAAACAAGUGUUCUAGCACCCUCAAGACAAUUUUCUCUUUCUCAGCAUACUUGUUGGAUCAAAUUCAGUUAGCAAAACAGGGGCAAAAACGAAGAGAUGAAAAUGGACAGAAAUAUCUCCAGUUAUUCUCUAGAUUAAGGCAAGCAUAAGUUUGCAAGCAACAAGCUGAAAACAUGUCAAUUAAGUCCCUAAUCAGAAAAGGCUAAACUAUCAAACAUUGCAUAUCUGAAUACACCAGCAGAGAACACAGAAGACAAGAGCAAGUAAAUACUAGCAAUCAUUCAUACCAUAUCUUGCUUGUAUGAUCUCAUCAACAAAAUUCAUUGAAGAAAAAGAUUCCGAGCAAGUAAAGAACUUGAAGCUUAUAUGAGAUGUGGUUUAAAAUCCGAACGGAACCACUUCCCAGCCCUCCUCGGAAGAAAGCAAGAAAGCUGGAUUCUGAUGCCAACAAAGUAUGGUAUAAAUAGAAGGUGUCAGCUUAACUUAGCUGGAUCUCCGAAGGAACAGAAAUUUCGCGUCCUUCGGAGAGUGCAGAAGGAUGAUUCGGAAAUUUCUUGAAGGCUUCCCAGGUAGUCAUCGAGACGUAGGUUUGGAGUCCUCCAAGGAUGAAGUUUAGAAUCCUUCCAAGUCAACAAAAGUUUGGGGGUCUAGGCUUUCCCUGAAACUGCUUGCACACCUAAUUCAUAGGAUCCCACCUUCAAGCAAGCUGCCAAAAUUCUUGACCGGGCGUGCGAACCCGUGAACCCGACAUUAGUGGCAUUUUUUUUAUUGCCUUUCUUUUUGUGGGGUACACGGCAUCAGUGGAUUUGUGUCGGCAUAUUUGAGUAUGGUGAUCGAUCAUGUUAGAUGCCCAAUAUGAGUUGAAUCCAUCUAUGAGCCAUAUCGAAUGGUAAAUAUUAAAAAAUAUAAAGACUUCUAUAGCAACAAUGAUGUCUAGAAAUUAGCUGGGGUUCUGGUGGAAGAGACGGUGCUGAUUUUGAAUAGUUGUGUGUUAGGUCAUGUCACCACUCUAAUAAAUAGGGUGUAUCCGUCAAGUCCAACUUAGUUGUUAUGGUCAAAUACUCUUGCCUGAACACGACACCAGGGGGGGUUGGGAACGAGAAAGUGCGCCUUAGUGCAAUUGUUCGAUUGCGUCAAUAUUCGGGUAAUCUCUCAGGCAUUUCAUCGAAUAGUUCGUGUACGAGUUUGGUGGUGUCUUCUUGAUGGCUAGCAAGGGCAAGAACCCAAGCGAUUGAAGCCAAUCUUCACCAAAGAAGGGAGAAGGAGAGAGGUCCCGGGCUCAGGUGGCCCAGAGACUGCCGAGACAAUGCCGAUGGAUGGUGCACAAGAUCCCGCCGGAAGAAGUGAAGCAAUUGCAACAUUAUUUCACCAAAGUUCUGGAGUUUCCGGAGGAGAUCAUGGAGGAAUCGAGGAAAUAAUGGGAGAAACUCUCGGACUUGGUCCAGAGUCUUGGCCGGUGAGUCCCUAUGGAGUGGAUCGCUAAAGAAUUUAAAGAAAGGGGGGAAGAUACCAUACGAUCUGGAAUCCUUUGCGCCGGCUGAGGAUCAUCACCUCGUUCGCUUUCGGUCUGAGGAGGACUGCGAGGGGAUCCUAAGCACCGGUCCGUAGUUCAUCGCCGGCCAGCUCCUGGCGGUGGAGCCGUGGAUAGCGCAUUUUGUCCCUGGGGUUAACAUGGUGAGGAGAUCUGUGAUAUGGGUCAGGCUGCCUGGUUUGCCAAUGGAAUAUUGACGGCCAGAAACGCUUUUUGGGAUUGCUUCAGAGGCAGGGAGACCGAUGUCGAUAGAUGAGUUCACCGAUCGCUGCUAGAAGACGGGAUUUAUGAGAUUCCGAGCGGAAAUCGAUUCUUUGAAGCCUCUGAAACCGGGACUCUCGAUUCUGGGGCAUAAGGAAAUUUUUUGGCAGCCUAUUGUCUAUGAAAACGUCCAUGUUGUUUGCUAUCAGUGGCCUGUUGGGUCAAGAUUGUCGAUUCCCCCAGGAGAGCCUGGAGACCGGUGGGAGGCCUCUUCAACUGGAGAACUUCUGUGCUACCCAAUGAAUGUAGAAGGAGACUUGGGAGGCGGGGAGGCGUCGGUGACUAUCACCCGAUCGCGGUUUGGACCCUGGGUUGCAGCGUCGAGGAUUGAGCAGCCUCAUGCGGCUACGGCUCCGACG